rnacentral:rRNA from 1 species
CCUACGGGAGGCAGCAGUGGGGAAUAUUGCGCAAUGGGCGAAAGCCUGACGCAGCGACGCCGCGUGAGGGAUGAAGGUCUUCGGAUCGUAAACCUCUGUCAGCAGGGAAGAACGGUCACUGUGCUAAUCAGCAGUGAAUUGACGGUACCUGCAAAGGAAGCACCGGCUAACUCAGUGCCAGCAGCCGCGGUAAUACGGAGGGUGCGAGCGUUAAUCGGAAUUACUGGGCGUAAAGCGCUCGUAGGCGGUAUGUCAAGUCAAGGGUGAAAUCCCCGGGCUCAACGUGGGAACUGCCUUUGAAACUGGCAAACUGGAGUGUGUGAGAGGAUUGUGGAAUUCCAGGUGUAGGAGUGAAAUGCGUAGAUAUCUGGAGGAACAUCAGUGGCGAAGGCGACUAUCUGGCACAUAACUGACGCUGAGGAGCGAAAGCGUGGGUAGCAAACAGGAUUAGAUACCCGAGUAGUC